GGGGGGGGGGGGGGGGGGGGCUGACGGGGGCGGGUCGGGCGGGGGCGCGGGAGGGGCUUGCUCUUACGGGUGGCGGGUGGCGGACGGGUGGGGAGUACAUCGGAGUCGACUUUUUCGUGGGGGGUAACGUAGGGAAACUUCCGCUAGUACCGCAUACGACCUCCGGGUGACAGCAGGGGAUCUUCGUCCCUUGCGCCAUUGAAUGCGCCGAUGUCGGAUUAGCUAGGUGUCGGGGUAAAGUCCCACAAAGGCGACGAUCCUUAGCUGGUCUGAGAGGAUGAUCAGCCACACUGGAACUGAGACACGGUCCAGACUCCUACGGGAGGCAGCAGUGGGGAAUAUUGGACAAUGGGCGCAAGCCUGAUCCAGCCAUACCGCGUGGGUGAAGAAGGCCUUCGGGUUGUAAAGCCCUUUUGUUGGGAAAGAAAAGCAGCAGGUUAAUACCCCGCUGUUCUGACGGUACCCAAAGAAUAAGCACCGGCUAACUUCGUG
rnacentral:rRNA from 1 species